UGGUGGAGUGAUUUGUCUGCUUAAUUGCGAUAACGAACGAGACCUUAACCUGCUAAAUAGGCAGGCCAGCUUUUGCUGGUCGCAGCCUUCUUAGAGGGACUAUCGGCUUCAAGCCGAUGGAAGUUUGAGGCAAUAACA
rnacentral:rRNA from 1 species